GACGAACCGUGCGAACGUUAUUCGGAAUCACUGGGCUUAAAGGGCGCGUAGGCGGGCCGUCAGGUCCGGGGUGAAAUCCUCCAGCUCAACUGGAGAACUGCCUCGGAUACUGGGUGCCUCGAGGGUGGUAGGGGUAUGCGGAACUAUCGGUGGAGCGGUGAAAUGCGUAGAUAUCGGAAGGAACAUCAGUGGCGAAAGCGACUUCCUGGACCAAUACUGACGCUCAUGUGCGAAAGCGUGGGGAGCAAACAGG
rnacentral:rRNA from 1 species